rnacentral:rRNA from 1 species
ACGGGAGGCAGCAGUGAGGAAUAUUGGUCAAUGGGCGAGAGCCUGAACCAGCCAAGUCGCGUGAAGGAUGAAGGUUCUAUGGAUUGUAAACUUCUUUUGUUCGAGGGUAAAGUGAGUCACGUGUGGCUUAUUGCAAGUAUCGAACGAAUAAGCCCCGGCUAACUACGUGCCAGCAGCCGCGGUAAUACGUAGGGAGCAAGCGUUAUCCGGAUUUACUGGGUGUAAAGGGCGUGUAGGCGGGACAUCAAGUCAGAUGUGAAAGCACGAGGCUCAACUUCGUGUCUGCAUUUGAAACUGACGUUCUUGAGUGUUGGAGAGGCUAACGGAACUCCUAGUGUAGCGGUGAAAUGCGUAGAUAUUAGGAAGAACACCAGUGGCGAGGGCGGUUAGCUGGACAAUAACUGACGCUGAGGCGCGAAAGCGUGGGUAGCAAACAGGAUUAGAUACCCUGGUA